GAAGUGCGAUAAGCAAUGCGAAUUGCAGAGCCGAGAGUCAUCAGAUUUUUGAACGUAACUGACACCGGAGGGUACUCUCUUCGGUAUGCUUCUUUCAGUGUGUGAAUCCCUCAUCACCCAAACCUUAAUGCGAUAGAUGCCCUUCUAUUGCUAAGCUCGAGAGCACUCUGUUCUCUGCAGCGGAAGUCUUACGACCGACGCACUCAAUGCAGUAGUCACAUUCUCAAAUGUGAACUCAUUGAGCGUAGAGUCAGUGCAUGUUUACAUGCCAGUGCUUGGAUACACAAAUUUUCUCAGCAUCUGAAAUGAAGUAGGACCACCCGCUGAACUUAA
rnacentral:misc_RNA from 1 species